UACGUAGGGGGCAAGCGUUGUCCGGAUUUAUUGGGCGUAAAGAGCGUGUAGGCGGCCAGGUAGGUCUGCUGUGAAAACUCGAGGCUUAACCUCGAGCUGUCGGCGGAAACCAUCUGGCUAGAGUCCGAAAGAGGAGAAUGGAAUUCCCGGUGUAGCGGUGAAAUGCGCAGAUAUCGGGAAGAACACCCGUGGCGAAGGCGGUUCUCUGGGACGGUACUGACGCUGAGACGCGAAAGCGUGGGGAGCGAACAGG
rnacentral:rRNA from 1 species